rnacentral:sRNA from 1 species
CCCCUUAUAUGCUGGGCUACACACGUGCUACAAUGGGUAGAACAGAGAGUCGCAAAGCUGUGAAGUGGAGCUAAUCUCAGAAAACUAUUCUUAGUUCGGAUUGUACUCUGCAACUCGAGUACAUGAAGUUGGAAUCGCUAGUAAUCGCGAAUCAGCAAUGUCGCGGUGAAUACGUUCUCGGGUCUUGUACACACCGCCCGUCACACCACGAGAGUUGGUUGCACCUGAAGUAGCAGGCCUAACCGUAAGGAGGGAUGCUCCGAGGGUGUGAUUAGCGAUUGGGGUGAAGUCGUAACAAGGUAUCCGUACGGGAACGUGCGGAUGGAUCACCUCCUUUCUAAGGAGUAUAAGUCUUUCUCUAUUCUAUUGGUAAUGUUCUUACAUUACUUCUGAACAUUGGAAACUAUAUAGUAGAACAAACAAGAAAAAAAUUAACUCUAACAAUUUCUUAGAGUUAGCUGUCAAAAAAUAGGUUAAAAUAAUUAAGGGCACACAAAGGAUGCCUAGGUAGUAAGAGCCGAUGAAGGACGUGGUAAGCUGCGAUAAGCCUAG